rnacentral:rRNA from 1 species
UUAGGAAUCUUGCGCAAUGGGCGAAAGCCUGACGCAGCAACGCCGCGUGGGGGAUGAAGGCUCUCGGGUUGUAAACCCCUUUCAGCAGGGACGAUUAUGACGGUACCUGCAGAAGAAGGACCGGCCAACUACGUGCCAGCAGCCGCGGUAAUACGUAGGGUCCGAGCGUUGUCCGGAUUCAUUGGGCGUAAAGAGCUCGUAGGCGGUUCCGUAAGUCGGAUGUGAAAACUCAGGGCUCAACCCGGAGACGCCAUCCGAUACUGCGGUGACUGGAGUCUGGUAGGGGAUCACGGAAUACCUGGUGUAGCGGUGAAAUGCGCAGAUAUCAGGUGGAACACCGAUGGCGAAGGCAGUGAUCUGGGCCAGUACUGACGCUGAGGAGCGAAAGCGUGGGGAGCAAACAGG